rnacentral:rRNA from 1 species
UACGUAGGGACCAAGCGUUGUUCGGAUUUACUGGGCGUAAAGCGCACGUAGGCGGAUAUUUAAGUCAGGGGUGAAAUCCCGCAGCUCAACUGCGGAACUGCCUUUGAUACUGAGGAUCUUGAGUUCGGGAGAGGUGAGUGGAACUGCGAGUGUAGAGGUGAAAUUCGUAGAUAUUCGCAAGAACACCAGUGGCGAAGGCGGCUCACUGGCCCGAUACUGACGCUGAGGUGCGAAAGCGUGGGGAGCAAACAGG